rnacentral:rRNA from 1 species
AGAGACCGGCGCACGGGGUGAGUAACGCGUAUGCAACCUGCCUGUUACAGGGGGAUAGCCCGUAGAAAUGCGGAUUAAUACCCCAUAGUACUGAGAAGUCGCAUGAUUUUUCAGUUAAAGUUUCGGCGGUAACAGAUGGGCAUGCGUGACAUUAGCUUGUUGGUGAGGUAACGGCUCGCCAAGGCUGCGAUGUCUAGGGGUUCUGAGAGGAAGAUCCCCCACACUGGUACUGAGACACGGACCAGACUCCUACGGGAGGCAGCAGUGAGGAAUAUUGGUCAAUGGGCGAGAGCCUGAACCAGCCAUCCCGCGUGCAGGAAGAAUGCCCUAUGGGUUGUAAACUGCUUUUUCGCAUGAAGAACAUCCCGGACGUGUCCGGGACUGACGGUAAUGCGUGAAUAAGCACCGGCUAACUCCGUGCCAGCAGCCGCGGUAAUACGGAGGGUGCAAGCGUUAUCCGGAUUUAUUGGGUUUAAAGGGUGCGUAGGCGGCAAUUUAAGUCAGUGGUGAAAUCCUGCAGCUCAACUGUAGAACAGCCAUUGAAACUGAAUUACUUGAGUAAUCUUGAGGUAGGCGGAAUGUGUAGUGUAGCGGUGAAAUGCUUAGAUAUUACACAGAACACCGAUUGCGAAGGCAGCUUACUAAGGAUUUACUGACGCUGAUGCACGAAAGCGUGGGGAUCAAACAGGAUUAGAUACCCUGGUAGAAUCACUAGUGAAUUC